rnacentral:rRNA from 1 species
CUCCUACGGGAGGCAGCAGUAGGGAAUCUUCCACAAUGGGCGCAAGCCUGAUGGAGCAACACCGCGUGAGUGAAGAAGGGUUUCGGCUCGUAAAGCUCUGUUGUUAAAGAAGAACACGUAUGAGAGUAACUGUUCAUACGUUGACGGUAUUUAACCAGAAAGUCACGGCUAACUACGUGCCAGCAGCCGCGGUAAUACGUAGGUGGCAAGCGUUAUCCGGAUUUAUUGGGCGUAAAGAGAGUGCAGGCGGUUUUCUAAGUCUGAUGUGAAAGCCUUCGGCUUAACCGGAGAAGUGCAUCGGAAACUGGAUAACUUGAGUGCAGAAGAGGGUAGUGGAACUCCAUGUGUAGCGGUGGAAUGCGUAGAUAUAUGGAAGAACACCAGUGGCGAAGGCGGCUACCUGGUCUGCAACUGACGCUGAGACUCGAAAGCAUGGGUAGCGAACAGGAUUAGAUACCCUGGUAG